GGAAAUGAAUUUGUUGCUGGAGAUCAUUCUGUACCAUGAUUUGCAGAUGAAUCUGAAUUUGUUGUGAAGGUCUCUGGCUGGAAGUUAGAUAAGGAUGCAGUAGAUGAUAUGUUCAGGAAGUUGUGGGAGGGCAUCUUCAACUUCUUUCGCGAUUCCCUUGUCUUUCAUUUUAUCUUUGCCUCUACCCUCUGCUUGGGCUAUGAGUUCCCAGUCACCAAAAUCAGCGUUGUCCAUCAACAUCUAGGGAAAAGGAAUCACAGAUAUCAAAUUAAUUAAUAAAAAUACGUGCUCAAGCUCUCUCGACACCUCUAUGCCGAAAACCCAAUACACCUUUUAUCUGUCUUUCUCUGCCAUUCUUGUCAUUCACUUUUUCACUCUUCCAUUAAAUCAUAUACCUUUAUCUUUCU